rnacentral:rRNA from 1 species
GACGAACGCUGGCGGCGUGCCUAAUACAUGCAAGUAGAACGCUGAAGGAGGAGCUUGCUCUUCUGGAUGAGUUGCGAACGGGUGAGUAACGCGUAGGUAACCUGCCUGGUAGCGGGGGAUAACUAUUGGAAACGAUAGCUAAUACCGCAUAAGAGUAGAUGUUGCAUGACAUUUGCUUAAAAGGUGCAAUUGCAUCACUACCAGAUGGACCUGCGUUGUAUUAGCUAGUUGGUGGGGUAACGGCUCACCAAGGCGACAAUACAUAGCCGACCUGAGAGGGUGAUCGGCCACACUGGGACUGAGACACGGCCCAGACUCCUACGGGAGGCAGCAGUAGGGAAUCUUCGGCAAUGGACGGAAGUCUGACCGAGCAACGCCGCGUGAGUGAAGAAGGUUUUCGGAUCGUAAAGCUCUGUUGUAAGAGAAGAACGAGUGUGAGAGUGGAAAGUUCACACUGUGACGGUAUCUUACCAGAAAGGGACGGCUAACUACGUGCCAGCAGCCGCGGUAAUACGUAGGUCCCGAGCGUUGUCCGGAUUUAUUGGGCGUAAAGCGAGCGCAGGCGGUUAGAUAAGUCUGAAGUUAAAGGCUGUGGCUUAACCAUAGUACGCUUUGGAAACUGUUUAACUUGAGUGCAAGAGGGGAGAGUGGAAUUCCAUGUGUAGCGGUGAAAUGCGUAGAUAUAUGGAGGAACACCGGUGGCGAAAGCGGCUCUCUGGCUUGUAACUGACGCUGAGGCUCGAAAGCGUGGGGAGCAAACAGG